UUAUAACCGGGCCCCAGCUGCGUUUUGUGCUGUCGUUGGAUGGAGCAGAUGGUCGCUCGAGGCCGGUUAUCCAAAGGACUUCGGGUUUCACCACAACAGAGCUCAAAUUCGGCCCGAUUAUCGGAAGUCAAUCAGCCAAUGGUGGCUUUGUGCAUUCGUUUGCAGUCUGGACGCGUGGAUGUGAACAUCUCGUACUCUGGACGGAGUCUCCACAAAUCUCCAAUACGGCGAGAGGGGCGUGUCAAGGCAGGGGUUAAGACAACGCGGCUAUCGUCGUACGAGUGAUUGACGGGUCGGAAAGGUCCGUUGGUGCCCGCCGGCAAAACUCUGAGUGUCUGGUGCAAAAUGAAUCCAGAAAAGCCAGAACUGAGACUGGAACCGUGAAACUCGGAACUGUGAGGCCGACCUGCUGACAACCGCUCGUCUGACGUGCUGAUCACAUGCAUCAUUGUGACUGUAAAUGUUAAAUUAUAACCUGCGUUUAAAAAAACGUAUCACGUAACCUUUAGCAGGACACGCGUAAAAUCCGCUGAUUAUGCACACAAAAAGUGUUAUGGCUGCUUAAUGCGCUGCAGAUGCUGGCCAACCUGCGUAACUUUUGUCUUGCUCUAACGUCCACGCAGAGGCAUGGCGAGGUAGGUGUUGGUCUGCCACUCCCGCGUUUAAGUGUCAAAUAUUCAACAAAACACUCCGAAAGGAGCGGCUGUGUAAUAUUUGUCCGCUUACAUCACAUGCCCAAUGUGUCAUUGUCAUGAUCAA